rnacentral:rRNA from 1 species
CACGUAGGGGGCGAGCGUUGUCCGGAUUCAUCGGGCGUAAAGGGCGCGCAGGCGGCCCGGAAAGUCGGAUGUGAAAACUCGAGGCUCAACCUCGAGCGUGCACCCGAUACUGCCGGGCUUGAGGCAGGUAGGGGAGAUCGGAAUUCCUGGUGUAGCGGUGAAAUGCGCAGAUAUCAGGAGGAACACCGGUGGCGAAGGCGGAUCUCUGGGCCUGUCCUGACGCUGAGGCGCGAAAGCUAGGGGAGCGAACAGG